UGCCAGUGACUGGAAUUACUUGCACUAGCCU
rnacentral:piRNA from 1 species